GGGCCUUGGGCGGCAGCUACACAUGCAGUCGAGCGGAACGAGUUAUCUGAACCUUCGGGGGACGAUAACGGCGUCGAGCGGCGGACGGGUGAGUAAUGCCUAGGAAAUUGCCCUGAUGUGGGGGAUAACCAUUGGAAACGAUGGCUAAUACCGCAUGAUGCCUACGGGCCAAAGAGGGGGACCUUCGGGCCUCUCGCGUCAGGAUAUGCCUAGGUGGGAUUAGCUAGUUGGUGAGGUAAGGGCUCACCAAGGCGACGAUCCCUAGCUGGUCUGAGAGGAUGAUCAGCCACACUGGAACUGAGACACGGUCCAGACUCCUACGGGAGGCAGCAGUGGGGAAUAUUGCACAAUGGGCGCAAGCCUGAUGCAGCCAUGCCGCGUGUGUGAAGAAGGCCUUCGGGUUGUAAAGCACUUUCAGUCGUGAGGAAGGUAGUGUAGUUAAUAGCUGCAUUAUUUGACGUUAGCGACAGAAGAAGCACCGGCUAACUCUGUGCAGCAGCCGCAA
rnacentral:rRNA from 1 species